rnacentral:rRNA from 1 species
GGGAAGGUCUAACCAUGCAGUCGAGCGGUAACACAGAGAGCUUGCUCUCGGGUGACGAGCGGCGGACGGGUGAGUAAUGUCUGGGAACUGAUGGAGGGGGAUAACUACUGGAAACGGUAGCUAAUACCGCAUAACGUCGCAAGACCAAAGUGGGGGACCUUCGGGCCUCAUGCCAUCAGAUGUGCCCAGAUGGGAUUAGCUAGUAGGUGGGGUAAUGGCUCACCUAGGCGACGAUCCCUAGCUGAGAGGAUGACCAGCACUGCCACACUGGAACUGAGACACGGUCCAGACUCCUACGGGAGGCAGCAGUGGGGAAUAUUGCACAAUGGGUCUGGCGCAAGCCUGAUGCAGCCAUGCCGCGUGUAUGAAGAAGGCCUUCGGGUUGUAAAGUACUUUCAGCGAGGAGGAAGUUAAGGUUAAUAUGGCGAUUGACGUUACUCGCAGAAGAAGCACCGGCUAACUCCGUGCCAGCAGCCGCGGUAAUACGGAGGGUGCAAGCGUUAAUCGGAAUUACUGGGCGUAAAGCGCACGCAGGCGGUCUGUCAAGUCGCGGGAUGUGAAAUCCCCGGGCUCAACCUGGGAACUGCAUUCGAAACUGGCAGGCUAGAGUCUUGUAGAGGGGGGUAGAAUUCCAGGUGUAGCGGUGAAAUGCGUAGAGAUCUGGAGGAAUACCGGUGGCGAAGGCGGCCCCCUGGACAAAGACUGACGCUCAGGUGACCUCGAAAGCGUGGGGAGCAAACAGGAUUAGAUACCCUGGUAGUCCACGCCGUAAACGAUGUCGACUUGGAGGUUGUGCCCUUGAGGCGUGGCUUCCGGGAGCUAACGCGUUAAUGGGUCGACCGCCUGGGGAGUACGGCCGCAAGGUUAAAACUCAAUGAAUUGACGGGGGCCCGCACAAGCGGAGCAUGUGUUUAUUUCGAUGCAACGCGAGACCUUACCUACUCUGACAUCCAGAGACUUAGCAGAGAUGCUUUGUGCUUCGGACUCUGAGACAGUGCUGCAUGCUGUCGUCAGCUCGUGUUGUGAAUGUUGGGUUAGUCCGGCACGAACGCACCCUUAUCUUUGGUGCACCGAUCAGGCUGUAACUCAAAGGAACUGGCAGGAUAACCUGGAGGACGUGAUGACUCAAGUCAUCUGCUUACAGAUAGGGAUCUACCACGUGUGUUCUCUACAAUGC